UUCCACAAAUCUUGACCUUGUGUUCGAGUCCUAGCAAGGAAGACUUCGUGAAUGUUGGAGAACUUUUACAUAGUUGAAAUACUAGAACUUUUACACGGUUGAUUCAACAAGUCUUGCAAGCUAGGUUUCUAUAAAGAUUUAGGACAAAGAUUUGGAUCAAAAUGAGAAGACUAAUGCUUGGUGCAAUUCUCCUGUGGGUGCUGAUCAGCUCGACCGUGCUAAUUGAAGGUACAAUGUAUACAAGUCCCCGACGACUACUGGCCGAUAAAAACGAGCAGAGGGUGAUGGGGAAUGUGAAUGAAAGGACCAAAAAUAGGCGCCCUAAUGAUAGUGGUGAGUACAAUCACCAUGGGUGUCCUAGAAGAGAUGUGGAUUGCUGGAGUAACAAAGAAAUUGGGGACUAAUAUGGGUUUAGUACUAAGUUAGCUGGCUACACGACAUGUUUGCAAAUAAAUAAGUCAACUGUCCACUUGACCAGCUAGCUGUAAUAUAUAUGUUUUGUACUGCUUUUGUAAUAUAUGUGAUGUAACUAGAGGUUCUUGUUUUAUUAGUAAUAUAAAUAUAGGAGUUUUGUAA